rnacentral:rRNA from 1 species
AGUGAACGCUGGCGGUAGGCCUAACACAUGCGAGUCGAACGGCAGCACAGUAAGAGCUUGCUCUUACGGGUGGCGAGUGGCGGACGGGUGAGGAAUACAUCGGACUCUACUUUUUCGUGGGGGAUAACGUAGGGAAACUUACGCUAAUACCGCAUACGCCCUACGGGUGAAAGCAGGGGAUCUUCGGACCUUGCGCGAUUGAAUGAGCCGAUGUCGGAUUAGCUAGUUGGCGGGGUAAAGGCCCACCAAGGCGACGAUCGGUAGCUGGUCUGAGAGGAUGAUCAGCCACACUGGAACUGGGACACGGUCCAGACUCCUACGGGAGGCAGCAGUGGGGAAUAUUGGACAAUGGGCGCAAGCCUGAUCCAGCCAUACCGCGUGGGUGAAGAAGGCCUCCGGGUUGUAAAGCCCUUUUGCUGGGAAAGAAAAGCAGCAGGUUAAUACCCCGCUGUUCUGACGGUACCCAAAGAAUAAGCACCGGCUAACUUCGUG